rnacentral:lncRNA from 1 species
GAAUCGCUUGAAUCCGGGAGGUGGAGGUUGCAGUGAGCCAAGAUUGCACCACUGCACUCCAACCUGGCUGACAGAGCAAGACUCCAUCUCAAAAAAAAAAAAAAAAAAAAAAAAAAAAAUCACUGGGUUUACAAGUUUAUUAAAGAUAGCUUGAAUGAUUGUUGCCCCAUUUCACUUGCAUUUUGAAGGAGUCAUUGUUUUCUCUAAUUUUAAAUUAAUAUACAGUCAUUUCUGUGUUUUUUUGCAGAAAGUAAAAUUACUCAUUCUUAUUCAUAUCCACUUAACCUGCAGAAGGCCAAUGUAGUCCGCUGGGAGUCCUCAAUAAGGAUCACUGCUUUACCCAUCACUUGGGCUGGGCAUUAUUAAGAUACAGUGAUGGGUAAGGAGAAAACAGAAACGCAAAAGACCGUAAUGGGUGGUGAGAGAACAGUACCAGGUUUGGGAGAGACCUGCGCAGGCUGAGGUGUAAACUACCAGAGUGUGAAAUGGUUGCAAGAUUAAGUUACGAUUAUGAGGAGUGUCCUCUUGGGAAGUCAAAAGUAGUGUCUGCUGGGCACAGCCCCAGUUUACAUUUGGAGAUCAGCUAACACCUGUGAAUUAUUUUACUGCCCCCUUUCACUUUUAAAAAUGUCCCAGUUUAGAUAAUGUUACGUGGCCACUCCAUAUUUAUAAAGCCCAACUAGAUUUUCAUACAUUGGCUAAUGGUCUUAAGCAACUAGGUAUACAUAGUUCUAUUAAUGCUUGAUAUUGAGACUGGAUUUGGUAGUCAAGAAUUGCUAUGAAGGAUGUUGAGACAUUCCUUAAUGUGGGAAUCACUCCCAUGCCACGGUUUGGUCCAGCACACAUACAAAAAAAAAAUUGUUUUUAAAUUUAAAAAUUGCCCCAUUUGUGGCAACACAUCUGUUUAGAUAUUUACAAUACUGAGGGGCAAGGGAAACACACCUUUAAACUAUAUUAAGAUAAGAGACUUUCAUUUCUAAGAUGUCUGGGAAAUUUAAAGAAAUCUAGUUGAUUUCUGUAGGGAGGAAACUUCCAAAGCACUUAGAUGGUAAAGAUUAAGGGCAGCAGAAAUAGAAACUGUUAAUGAGACCAUGUAAGAAAUUUUGCUUGGUCAACCCGGGCAAUGUAGUGAAACUCUGUCUCUACAAAGGGUUGUUGUUGUUUUUUUUUUUUUUGAGAUGAAGUCUCGCUCUUGUCCCUCAGGCUAGAGUGUGAUGGCACAAUCUCGGCUCACUGCAACCUCCGCCUCCUGGGUUCAAGCGAUUCUCCUGCCUCAGCCCCCUGAGUAGCUGGGAUUACAGGCGCCUGCCACCACGCCCGGCUAAUUUUUGUAUUUUUAGUUGAGAAGGGGCUUCACCAUGUUGGCCAGGCUGGUCUAGAACUCCUGACCUCAGGUGAUCCACCCGCCUCGGCCUCGCAAAGUGCUGGGAUUACAGGCGUGAGCCAUAGUGCCCAGCCAACAAGGUAUUUUAAAAAGUAGCCGGGCAUGGUGGCGGGUGCCUGUGGGAGGCUGAGGUGGGAGGAUCGCCUGAGCCCUGGCAACGCUGCAGUGAACUGAGAUGGCACCACUGCACUCCAGCCUGGGCGACAAGGGCAAAACUCCGUCUCAUAAAUAAAUUAAUAAGUAAAUAAGAAACCCAAAAUGCGUAUCUCUUAUUCUGCCACUUUGGAUUUACCUACAUGUAUCAGUAUUCAGCAAAACUCCGUCUCAUAAAUGAAUAAAUAAGGAACCCAAAAUGCAAAUCUCUGUU